CCUUUACUGACGCUAAAGCUCGAAGGUGCGGGUAUCGAACAGGAUUAGAUACCCUGGUAGUCCGCACGGUAAACGAUGGAUGCCCGCUGUUUGCGAUAUACUGUGAGCGGCCAAGAGAAAUCGUUAAGCAUCCCACCUGGGGAGUACGCCGGCAACGGUGAAACUCAAAGGAAUUGACGGGGGCCCGCACAAGCGGAGGAACAUGUGGUUUAAUUCGAUGAUACGCGAGGAACCUUACCCGGGCUUGAACUGCAGGAGAACGAUUCAGAGAUGAUGAGGUCCUUCGGGACUCCUGUGGAGGUGCUGCAUGGUUGUCGUCAGCUCGUGCCGUGAGGUGUCGGCUUAAGUGCCAUAACGAGCGCAACCCCUUUCGUUAGUUGCCAUCAGGUGAUGCUGGGCACUCUGGCGAUACUGCCACCGUAAGGUGUGAGGAAGGUGGGGAUGACGUCAAAUCAGCACGGCCCUUACGUCCGGGGCUACACACGUGUUACAAUGGGUGGUACAGAGAGCCGGUCGUCUGCAAAUGCGAUCAAAUCCUAAAAGCCAUCCUCAGUUCGGAUUGGGGUCUGCAACCCGACCCCAUGAAGCUGGAUUCGCUAG
rnacentral:rRNA from 1 species